rnacentral:sRNA from 1 species
AGGGCACAACCCCAGUGCACUGAAGUACAGAAGUCUCCACACUUGAAAAAACGAAUCUCCACAAAUGUGACUUGCUCAGUUCCCGGCAGCACCAGGACUGGGCCCAGGGUCCCAGAACCUUGAGUCAGGGCUUAGCUGGGAGCUGACCUAUCUCCAGAGAGUCCAUUCUGGUCCCUCAGGCUGUCUUGGUGCGGAGCACUGAUCCCUCAUGCCCCCUCCCGCUGGCCCUUGGCAGUGUAUUCUGAGCAGAAGCUCCAGAGAGGAAAGAGCCCGCGGAGAUGGGGCCAGCGUUCACGGCAGUGACAGAGCUGGGAUGAAUCCCGGCGUCUCCUGCCUGCUGCCUGCCUGGGGCAGCCUUCUUUGCACUUUGGUGGAGGAAGGGUGCAGUGGAAUUGGUCCCCGUUUCUCCUGGGAGGGGCCUUCACCGGAGCUGCUCUCACCACAGAUUGAGUGCCAUCUAUGGGGGGACAUAUAUGCUGAACAAACCUGUGGAUGACAUCAUCAUGGAGAACGGCAAGGUGGUGGGCGUGAAGUCUGAGGGAGAGGUGGCCCGCUGCAAGCAGCUGAUCUGUGACCCCAGCUACAUCCCGGACCGUGUGCGGAAGGCUGGCCAGGUUAUCCGCAUCAUCUGUAUCCUUAGCCACCCCAUCAAGAACACCAACGACGCCAACUCCUGCCAAAUAAUCAUCCCCCAGAACCAGGUCAACAGGAAGUCAGGUAGGCCGGGCGCUGGUACAGCUUCCUCUAGGGUGUUCUCUUUGGGGUUACUCUUUUUCUCCCCAUCAGUGUGGGAGCUCCCUGCCUUACCUCUCUGGAAAAAAUUUGAGCCACAUUGUAGCCACCACAACUUGGAGCCCUAGGGUUUGGGUGGCCUGGACUCUUUCCCUCUGGGAGGGUGGCGGCUUGGAUGCUACCUGCUCUGCGGGGCUGGGGAGGGGCAGUCGGGCCAGACUUGUGUCCAGCCACUGGAACCCCUCUCUGCGUAUGGCCAGCGCCUCUGGCCUGAGUUGACGGAGCUCU